AUUGAACGCUGGCGGCGUGCCUAACACAUGCAAGUCGAACGCGAAAGCCCUUUCGGGGGUAAGUAGAGUGGCGUCCGGGUGAGUAACACGUAGGUAAUCCUGCCUUCGGGUGGGGAAGUAACCAGUCGAAAGAAUUGGCUAAUACCGCAUAAUGCAGCGGCACCUAAUGGUGAUUAGUUGUUAAAGCGGGGGAUCGUAAGACCUCGCGCCUGAAGAGGAGCCUGCGGCAGAUUAGCAGUUGGUGAGGUAAUGGCUCACCAAGGCUUCGAUCUGUAGCUGGUCUGAGAGGACGGCCAGCCACACUGGCACUGACACACGGGCCAGACUCCUACGGGA
rnacentral:rRNA from 1 species